AAUACAGUUUGAUUUUGUAUGUCUCGAGUUUCUCAUUAAGUCACAUAAUUGAGUUUUCUUUAUUCUGACUUUUUUUCUCCUGGUGAUUCUGUUUGUAGUAUUGACUGAAAAUCCUUACACUAAUGCUAAUUUUGAUCUUUUUUUUCACUAGCAUGUAUUGGAGCCCUCAGACUUGAAGAAGGACAUAGAUUUCGUGACUGAUGCUGAAAUGGAAGCCAACCAUUGCAGAAAUUUGGGGGAAAAUGAAUCUGAAGAAUGCAAGGGGAAGUAGGAAUUCAUUUCUAGCAUUCCCAAACCUGCUUUGUCACGUCACCUCCACCACAGUCAGAGGAAAAGAACUGAUCAUGAAAAUUACCAACUAAGCCUUACAUCUGUCUUUAAUGUUUUUAGGAAAUAUACUGAAAAGGUAAGUGAGAUGUCUGUUUUGAAGAAAGACUUUAUUAGGUAUUUUAAAACCAGUUCUGUAUUAGUAAAACUGGACAGCUUCUUUAUUCUGAGCUUCAAAAGUCUUGUCCCCAUUUGGUAUGGUUCUCAGUAAUUGUGGAGAAGGUGGAGUUGUUCCAACCAACACGAAGCUUUUCCUCUACUUCUCAGCAAUUAAGCUGGAUCUUACAUUGAAGUGUCCAAAGUGCCAGUUUUUGUUGUUUUGUGCUCAAAUCCUCUCUUAAAAAAUUAUUUUUAGUUGAGUUGUAAUUUUACCCCUUACUGUUUAGAAAAACUUUUUAAAUGCUUCAAAGUUCCUACCAGAACUACAUUUGUAUUGUAUGUAGUCAAAUAAUAAUAAAAUUAUGGAGUUUUAUAGAUCUCUGUUAACAUCCACCUAUGUGGGUUUAUAGAUAAUUUUUAAAUUACUAGGAUUGUUCCAAAUUUAUUAAAUCCCUAUAUAAUAGGCAUUGUGCCAGGCCCUGCAAUAAAGAGAUGGACUGGUACACAGUUCAUGUUCUCAAGAAAUUCAUUUUUAUUGAUAUAAUACAGAUAGAAUUCUAGUUUAGGGAAUCAGAAUCAAAAUGAGGCUAAUUCCAUUUCCCAGUCAACAAUCCGCUGUAGCUAGCAUGUUAAUCUGAUACAUGACAAAUUGUAUUUGAAAGAUCCAGCACUGGAUGUGUGUGAGAGAGACAUUUACUAAAUACUUCCUAUAUUCUAGGUACUGUUCUAGGCUCUUUAUAUAUAUAUAUAUAUAUAUUUUUUUAAUCCCUAUAACUAUCCUGUGAGAUAGGUCCUAUUUUUAAAGCCCAUUUUCUAAGUCAUUAAGGCAGAAAAGUUAACUUACCCAAGUUUGCACAACUGUCAUCUAGGACCAGUCUUUGAACCCAGGCAGGCUGAUUGCAGAGCCUGUACUCUUCAAUUUGGGUGUGAUAUUUAUAUGCAGUACCUGGCUAGGAGUACCCACCAGACUUUCCAGAUUCUUAAUAAAAUUUGCCUAGUUUUAAAAAGGAAAGUUUCAGUAAUACAGAACUACUAUAGAUAAUAGUUGUCCAACUUUUUAGAGAACCAGAAUUCCCUUUUUUUCAGCUCUGGGCUCCAAGACAGUUAUUUUGCAUGAUGAUCUCCCCUCCUCCCCCUCCCCUCACUCCCCCCAACAGUGUGCGUGCACACACACAAAAUUUAAAGUGCUGGCACAGAGAAGCAGAGCUUAUCACCCUUAUAUUUUCUCUUCACUACCUAUUGUCACUUAUGUCCACCCCUCUUUCUUUCUGGAAUAUGGACAUUUUAUUUAGCUGCUAAAUGAUGAGAAAAUAAGACUGCUGAGACUUUCCCUAGGAGUCUUUAAAAAUAGAUUAGGCUCUGUACAAAAUAAAAACUGCUGUGAGAACUCCAGGUAGGUAAUUUACUUCCUGUUGUAUGUAUAGUUUCUGAAGCCUCUGCACCUCUAGCCCCUGUUUUAUGUUUCUGUAAAUCUGAUUUGACCUUUAAUAAACUGUUUUCUGAA